rnacentral:rRNA from 1 species
UUAUUAAAUUUAUUCUUUUUUAUUUUAAUUUAUUAAAAGUAAUUAUAAAAGUAACUUGUUUUAGUAUUUUAUUAAAAAAAAAUAAUUAUAAUAAUAGUGUAAUAGUAUUGUGAAAGAAAAUUGAAAUAAUUUGAAAAAUUUUUGUUUUAAAAGAAAAUUUAAUUAAUUGUACCUUGUGUAUCAGGGUUUAUUAAAUAAAGGUUAUGUAAAUAAUUUUCUCGAUUUUAAAAGAGUUAAUAUAUUAUUAAAGUUAAUGUUGUAAAAUUAUUUUAAAUAAUAUAUUAGAAAUGAAAUGUUAUUCGUUUUUAAAGGUAUCUAGUUCUUUAAGAAAUAAAUUUAAUUUAUAAAUUUUUUAUUAUUUAGUUUAAUUAAUUAAUUAAAUAAUUAUUUAAUUUAAAUAUUUUAUGGGAUAAGCUAUAAAAUAAAUUUUUAAAAAUAUAUAAAUAUAUUAAUAAAUAUAAGCUUAGAAGUAGCUAUUAUUAAUGAAAGUGUUAUAAUUUAUUUAUAAAAUUAUAAUUAUUUAUUAAGUUUUAAUUAUUUAUUAAAGUAUUUAUUUUAAUUAUAAAAAUAAAAUAAUUAUGGUAAAAUUAGUAUAUUGAAUUUGUUUAAAUAAGUUUGUAAGAAAAGUUUUAUUAAAGAAUUCGGCAAAAAUAAUAUUCGCCUGUUUAACAAAAACAUGUCUUUUUAGUAUUUAUAAAAAGUCUAACCUGCCCACUGAUUAAUUUUAAAUGGCCGCAGUAUACUAACUGUGCAAAGGUAGCAUAAUAAUUAGUCUUUUAAUUGAAGGCUGGUAUGAAUGGUUGGACGAGAUAUUAACUGUUUCAAUUAAAUUUAUAAUAAAAUUUUAUUUUUUAGUCAAAAAGCUAAAAUGAAUUUAAAAGACGAGAAGACCCUAUAAAUCUUUAUAUUUAAAUUAUUAUAAUUUUGUAGAAGAUUUAUGUUAUAAUAAUAAAUAAUAUUUUAUUGGGGUGAUAUUAAAAUUUAAUAAACUUUUAAUUUUAAAAAUCAUUAAUUUAUGAAUAUUUGAUCCGUUAUUAACGAUUAAAAAAACAAGUUACUUUAGGGAUAACAGCGUAAUUUUUUUGGAGAGUUCAUAUCGAUAAAAAAGAUUGCGACCUCGAUGUUGGAUUAAGAUAUAAUUUUAGGUGUAGCUGCUUAGAUUUUAAGUCUGUUCGACUUUUAAAUUCUUACAUGAUCUGAGUUCAGACCGGCGUAAGCCAGGUUGGUUUCUAUCUUUAAAUAAUAAAAAUAUUUCAGUACGAAAGGACCUAAUAUUUAAUAAAUUAUUAUUUUUAUGUUGAAUAUAAUUAACAUUUUUAUUA